rnacentral:rRNA from 1 species
UACGUAGGGUGCAGGCGUUAAUCGGAAUUACUGGGCGUAAAGCGUGCGCAGGCGGUUUGCUAAGACAGAUGUGAAAUCCCCGGGCUUAACUUGGGAACUGCGUUUGUAACUGGCAAGCUAGAGUGUGGCAGAGGGGGGUGGAAUUCCAAGUGUAGCAGUGAAAUGCGUAGAUAUUUGGAGGAACACCGAUGGCGAAGGCAGCCCCCUGGGCUAACACUGACGCUCAUGCACGAAAGCGUGGGGAGCCAAAGGG